rnacentral:rRNA from 1 species
UACGUAGGUGGCAAGCGUUGUCCGGAUUUACUGGGCGUAAAGAGCGCGCAGGCGGUCGUUCAAGUCGCGUGUGAAAGCCCCCGGCUCAACUGGGGAGGGUCACGCGAUACUGAUCGACUCGAAGGCAGGAGAGGGAAGUGGAAUUCCCGGUGUAGUGGUGAAAUGCGUAGAUAUCGUAAGGAAGACCAGUGGCGAAGGCGGGUCUCUGGACGAGUUCCUUCGACGGCUGAGGCACGAAGGCCAGGGGAGCAAACGGG